rnacentral:rRNA from 1 species
ACGUGGGUAACCUGCCUUAUAGUGGGGGAGUAGCCUUUCGAAAGGAAGAUUAAUACCGCAUAAGAUUGUAGUAUCGCAUGAUAUAGCAAUUAAAGGAGCAAUUCGCUAUAAGAUGGACCCGCGUCGCAUUAGCUAGUUGGUGAGGUAAUGGCUCACCAAGGCGACGAUGCGUAGCCGACCUGAGAGGGUGAACGGCCACAUUGGGACUGAGACACGGCCCAGACUCCUACGGGAGGCAGCAUG